AGUGAACGCUGGCGGUAGGCCUAACACAUGCAAGUCGAACGGCAGCACAGUAAGAGCUUGCUCUUACGGGUGGCGAGUGGCGGACGGGUGAGGAAUACAUCGGAAUCUACUUUUUCGUGGGGGAUAACGUAGGGAAACUUACGCUAAUACCGCAUACGACCUACGGGUGAAAGCAGUGGAUCUUCGGACCUUGCGCGAUUGAAUGAGCCGAUGUCGGAUUAGCUAGUUGGCGGGGUAAUGGCCCACCAAGGCGACGAUCCGUAGCUGGUCUGAGAGGAUGAUCAGCCACACUGGAACUGAGACACGGUCCAGACUCCUACGGGAGGCAGCAGUGGGGAAUAUUGGACAAUGGGCGCAAGCCUGAUCCAGCCAUACCGCGUGGGUGAAGAAGGCCUUCGGGUUGUAAAGCCCUUUUGUUGGGAAAGAAAAGCAGCAGGUUAAUACCCCGCUGUUCUGACGGUACCCAAAGAAUAAGCACCGGCUAACUUCGUG
rnacentral:rRNA from 1 species